UACCUUCGGGGCUGCGCAAAUUGUCGAAGUCCUAUCGACUCACGUAAGUUGGCGACUUGCUUAAGUUAGUGACUAAGGUUCAACAUCGCAGCAAUGGUCGGCAUUACAAACAAGAAGGAAAAGAAGAAAAUUUCAUUCAUUGAUGAAAGGAAAUUACAAAGUCGGGUCGAAGCCCGAUUACAUGUAUUUUCAAAAAGAAACAAAAAGGGA
rnacentral:lncRNA from 1 species